rfam:Vibrio sp. JCM 19236 DNA, contig00003.
GGUGAGGUGGCCGAGAGGCUGAAGGCGCUCCCCUGCUAAGAGUAUACGGUUUGUAGCCGUAUCGAGGGUUCGAAUCCCUCCCUCACCG